rnacentral:tRNA from 1 species
GGUGGAAUGGCCGAGUGGUUGAAGGCGCUGGUCUUGAAAACCAGAAACGGGGAAACUCGUUCGGGGGUUCGAAUCCCUCUUCCACCGCCA